rnacentral:rRNA from 1 species
AACGUAGGUUCCGAGCGUUAUCCGGAUUUACUGGGCGUAAAGCGCGUUCAGGCGGUUUGGCAAGUCGGGCAUGAAAUCUCUCGGCUCAACCGGGAGGGGUUGUCCGAUACUGCUGGACUUGAGGGCAGUAGAGGGUGGUGGAAUUCCGGGUGUAGUGGUGAAAUGCGUAGAUAUCCGGAGGAACACCAGUGGCGAAGGCGGCGCCCUGGCUCGCAACUGACGCUCAGACACGACAGCAUGGGGAGCGAACGGGG